rnacentral:misc_RNA from 1 species
UGCCCAUGCAGCCUCUUUCUUAAUAUCAAAUUCAGCAUUUUGGAGCAAAUGAACAAGGGGAGCAACUAUAUUGGCAUCUAUAACGGCCUGAAUCUGUGCCUUGUUCCCGGCUGUUAUAUUAGAUAUAGUCCAGCAAGCCUCUUUCUUGAUGCUCUUCUUAUGAUUAUUAGUCAACAAAUUUAGCAGGCAAGGCAGGGCAUUAUGUUGGAUGAUAACCUGAGUUUGCAAAUCAUCGCCAGUGACGAUGUUUCCAACAGUUCGAAGGGCAGGAAUGAGCACUGAAGGAGCAGGAUGCAUUAAGAGCUCGACGAGACGAGGGCAAACACCUGCCUCAAUAACAGCUUGG